rnacentral:rRNA from 1 species
UGCGAAGGACGAACGAGGGUACUCAACUCGUGAUUGCCGGCAGGGUGGCUGGUGCCUAGGCGCCGAGAGUAAAUGACCAUAGCGCGCAGGCACUGCCGCCCCAAGUUUGACGGUGCUGGCAGGACGGGCGUAGUUGUUCCCUCUAGUAGUAUUUACCACGACGCAGCGAGCCGUCUGCGGGAGCCAGGAGGGCCGAUCUUGACGUACCGGACUGGUACCCUCGGGCAAAGAGGGGAAACCGGCGUGCGCUGGACUAUGCCUGGCUCUUUAGCGCGACGGCUAGCUGAGGGGGGUCUCUGCUUUUGCGGUGGCGGCCCCUCGCUGUGGAGUAGCGGUGAUCCACCUGACCCGUCUUGAAACACGGACCAAGGAGUCUAACCUGUGCGCGAGUCUAAGGGUCCCUUGAGACCCGGAGGCGCAAUGAAAGUGAGCGAAUUUCUCCGUGAGGAGAGUUCUAUGCUGGCCGAUCCCUGCUCUCCGGAGUGGGGCGCAGGCCGAGGACUCGCCGCUAAGCGGCCGGCAGCUGCGGCCUCGUCUGGCGCAAGCGGGACGGGGCUGGGCGGGCGGUCCGCUGGCGAGUACCUUGUUAGCGUACACGUUGG